rnacentral:rRNA from 1 species
CACGUAGGGCGCAAGCGUUGUCCGGAAUUAUUGGGCGUAAAGAGCUCGUAGGCGGUCUGUUGCGUCCGCUGUGAAAACUCGGGGCUUAACCCCGAGCCUGCAGUGGAUACGGGCAGACUAGAGGUAGGUAGGGGAGAAUGGAAUUCCCGGUGUAGCGGGUGAAAUGCGCAGAUAUCGGGAGGAACACCGGUGGCGAAGGCGGUCUCUGGGCCUUACCUGACGCUGAGGAGCGAAAGCAUGGGGAGCGAACAGG